UCCGGUUUAGCACCGGCAGUCUUCCCAGAGUCCCCGCCAUAACGCGCUGGCAACUGAGAACGGGGGUUGCGCUCGUUGCGGGACUUAACCCAACGUCUCACGACACGAGCUGACGACAGCCAUGCAGCACCUGUGCACGGGCUCCGAAGAGGGCCCUCGGUUUCUCGAGGGUUUCCCGUGUAUGUCAAGCCUAGGUAAGGUUCUUCGCGUUGCGUCGAAUUGAACCACAUGCUCCGCUGCUUGUGCGGGUCCCCGUCAAUUCCUUUGAGUUUUAGCCUUGCGGCCGUACUCCCCAGGCGGGGUACUUAAUGCGUUAGCUUCGGCACAGGAGGAGUCGACACCUCCUACACCUAGUACCCAUCGUUUACGGCGUGGACUAC
rnacentral:misc_RNA from 1 species